CACCCUCCUUUCCGUGUUUUUGAGCCGGUUGCUUCGGCGGGCCCGCUAUUUGUGGCGGGGGGGUGGGCCCCUCGGCGCCCCGGAUCGGAGGGGACCGAAUCCAUUAUCAAGUACUCUGUCUGAAAGCGGUUGUCUGAGUUGAUUUUUUGCAAACAGUUAUGACUUUCAACAAUGGAUCUCUUGGUUCGGGCAUCCACGAAUAAAGCAGCGGGAUGCCAUAACUAAUGUGAAUUGAGAAUUCAGUGAAUCAUCCGUCUUUCCCGCACAUUGCGCCCCCUGGAAUUACGGGGGGCAUGACUGUGCGAACGUCAUUGCUGCCCUCGAGCCCGGUUUGUGUGUUGGGUCGCCGUCCCCCCUCUCCGGGGGGACGGGCCCGAAAGGAAGCGGCGGCACCGCAUCCGAUCCUCGAGCGUAUGGGGCUUUGUCACAUGCUCUGAAGGAUUGGCCGGCGCCUGCCGACGUUUUCAAACUAUUCUUUCAGGUUGACCUCGAAUCAGUAAGGAAUCCCCGCUGAACUUAACCUAUAUCAACAAGCGAAAGAAA
rnacentral:rRNA from 1 species